GACGAACGCUGGCGGCGUGCUUAACACAUGCAAGUCGAACGGAAAGGCCCUGCUUUUGUGGGGUGCUCGAGUGGCGAACGGGUGAGUAACACGUGAGUAACCUGCCCUUGACUUUGGGAUAACUUCAGGAAACUGGGGCUAAUACCGGAUAGGAGCUCCUGCUGCAUGGUGGGGGUUGGAAAGUUUCGGCGGUUGGGGAUGGACUCGCGGCUUAUCAGCUUGUUGGUGGGGUAGUGGCUUACCAAGGCUUUGACGGGUAGCCGGCCUGAGAGGGUGACCGGCCACAUGGGGUAUGAUAUGCCGCCGAGAGUGCUACGGGGGGACGCCGCGGGGGGGCGUGCGGACUUGGCGGGAUUCGCAUGCCGCAUCGCCGCGUGCGGAAUGGCGGCUUUCGGGUUGUAAAACGCUCUCGCCUGUGACGAAGCGUGAGUGACGGUAAGGGGUAAAGAAGCACCGGCUAACUACG
rnacentral:rRNA from 1 species